rnacentral:rRNA from 1 species
CUGCCAGACUCCUACGGGAGGCAGCAGUGGGGAAUAUUGCACAAUGGGCGCAAGCCUGAUGCAGCAACGCCGCGUGAGCGAAGAAGGUCUUCGGAUCGUAAAGCUCUGUCCUUGAGGAAGAAGGAAGUGACGGUACUCAAGGAGCAAGCCACGGCUAACUACGUGCCAGCAGCCGCGGUAAUACGUAGGUGGCAAGCGUUGUCCGGAAUUACUGGGUGUAAAGGGAGCGCAGGCGGGAAGCCAAGUCAGCUGUGAAAACUACGGGCUUAACUUGUAGACUGCAGUUGAAACUGGUUUUCUUGAGUGAAGUAGAGGUUGGCGGAAUUCCGAGUGUAGCGGUGAAAUGCGUAGAUAUUCGGAGGAACACCGGUGGCGAAGGCGGCCAACUGGGCUUUAACUGACGCUGAGGCUCGAAAGUGUGGGGAGCAAACAGGAUUAGAUACCCGUGUA